GGAUUUACCUGGACUCGGCACCCCAGCCAUUAGUAAAUUGCAUGGGAAGCUUCACUGAAAUACUCGUUCACUCAGAAAGGUACAUCUUGAACCUGGUACUCACCUAUUAUGGCAGGAAGGUUAAGCAACAAUAUGAUGGCUCUUCUCUUCACUGAUUGUCAACAUUAUAUUGAAAAACAUUGACGUAAUAGAACAUAAGAUCACCUGGAAAUUCAUUUGCUCUUAUACAUUUCCUCAUAUGAAACCUCCUGCAGGGAUUUUGUCCACUUCAGUGGAACCACUCUGACCCAGCUGAUGUCUUUUGGAGAUCCCCAGAAAGUCGUGUUUAUGUUGGGUUGAGUCUGUAAACCCCCUGCUAGGACUGUUUUUUGGUUUAUCAAAUAAAAGAAGACGAACUGUGAACUCUUGUAAAACACAAGAUGAAACUGAAAUUUUAUGUUUUCCUGCUGUUUUAAACAUCAAAAUCAAGCAUAUAGAAUCCCCCGAGGGUUUAUUUACUAAUGUUUACUUCCCGGUUUAACUCAAAUCACGAGUCCUUGGGUCUUGA